GGAAAUCAUAACCUGGGAGACUUGGUGCACUGAGACACCCCUUCAGUAACGUUCUCUCUUUCUUUCUUUUUUUUAUUUUUUUGAUGGAUUCAUUUAUAAGAACCUACCUCUGAAUCUAAUCUGAGAAUUAGGCAGAGAUAUGGGACAGCAUGUCAUUUGUUAAGCAAUAUCAGCUCCGCAGGUAGGAGCUUGUCUUCUUCACUGGAAAAACACUCAAGUGAGAAGAAGAAGCUAAUCCAUAUUCAUCCGCUGGCCCUCAAUGACCACAUGCAAAACAGUCAUUUCAGAUGUGCCAUGUUUUUUUCCCCCUUGUCUUCUCUUGUGGCAUGUCUUUUUUUAAUGGUCUGAGGGACCACACACACACACACACACACACACACACACACACACAUACACACAGCGGUAGGUUUCCGAUCAAAGGCCGCCUCUUCUCUGGAGGGUCUCAUGCUGGGACCAUCGCAGUAUUGAAGAAUAAUUGCCUUCCUUAGCAUAUACGUCUGUGACUCCCAUCAUUAGGGUUUUAAUGAGCAGAAAAAUAGUGUGAAACACGUUUAAUUUUGGACUGUUGUGACUCCGUCUUUAAUAGUUAAACUUCAGAAUUCAAUCCAGAUAACAAAACAAUUCUUUCUUUAGCAACAAUGGCAUUUGUAGGAUUGAAAAAUAGUCAGGUAUUAGUCCAGAUCCAUACAGGGACAUCAGGUGGUGUCCUGAAGCAUACGUUAGUUAGUUAGUUAGUUAGUUAGUUAGUUAGUUAGUUAGUUACAAAACUGAGAUCCUAAUUAAUUUAAAUAGUUAGUUAAAAUAGGUACAUUAUAUAAAUUUUAAGCAUUUUAUAAAGCCAAUAUAAUUUAUAGAUUCAUAUCAUUUAAGUUAUUAGUUUUACUGAGUAUUAUCUGAGUUUAUAUCUGUAUUUCUGUCCUUCAGUCUUGAUAUAAGGACAUAAUCUGUUGAAUAUUGCAGGCAGCAAUAAUAUGAAGUACGUAUCAAUCUGAAAGCUUUUACAUUUCAGAUAUCAUGUGCUACAAUAAUGCAGAUAAUUAGCUUUCUAAUUGGCUGCUGUAAUUUUUUUUUGAUGUUUUAUAGCCUAUUUCUGUGUGACAAUGUUGGAUGGAUAACCUAAGUAAAAUUAAAAAAUUCAGCUUGAUUUGAUAUACUUCUUCUUCUAAAACAAUGCAAUGGGGGAAAUGAUGAUGAACAGGAAACAAGGAAAAUCUGGUAGGAUUAUUCAAAGCAUACAUUUCCAUGCAGGAGAAAAUGUGAUCAGUAUCUUCUUUUGAAAAACUUGUCUAAAGCUGUAAGGUGUUAGAUUAGUUCUAGGGGAUUUGAGCAGCAAGUUAAAUUUUAUUUGCUGUCGGAGUUGUUUUACCGUUAUGAAUUAAUUAAAGCGCGAGCAGCCGUUUUUUUUUUCACUGUAAUCAGUUAGGAUGUUGAUGUCAGAGGCGGGACAUUAAUGAAAUGACUGAUAUGAUGGCUGAUCAGUGGAGAAUGGCUCAAAACCACAUCCUCUACUGGGUGUGUGCGUGCGUGUGUGCGCGUGUGCGUGCACAUGUGUGUCUUCAGUUGGGGCUGUCUCCAUUCUUCAACUAGCUAUCUUACACUUGUUUCUGGUCAGUUGGUUAAAGCUCAGUCUUAGUAGCCUGGAUUCUGCUUCACUUCUGUCACUAUGGAUAGAAGCAUCUGUCAAAUGAAUGAACAUAAUUGCAGAAAAAAAAUAAACAUCUGGAGCGGCAUGUGCUCUUCUGGGUCUGUGUGGGUUUCCUCUAGGUUUUACCGUUUCCUCCUACCUCCCAUUAACAUGCAAGUACAGUAAGUGGAUUAGAUAUGCUAAACUGCCCACAGGUGUAAAUGAGUGUGUGAAUGUAUAUGUUCCAAUAUGAUGGAUACCCAGGGUGUAUUCUCAGCUUGCACCCAGUUUUCCGAUGAUAGGCUUUGGAUACACUGCAGUCAUGACCAGGAUAAAGCAGCUAAUGAAGACGAAUGAAUGAAUGAAGAGACACUAUAGCCAAUGAUAGUGACACAAUAUUUAAAACACAAGGAGGAUUCAAUAUAAAAAAAUAUUCCCGUCUUAAUAUAUAUGGUAUGACUGUCUAAUUGUCAUGUAAGCAAUUUUUCCUUAAAAACUAAUAAUUGAUAGCUGUAUGUUGUGUUGUGAUAGGUGAUAACUGAGUUGUGUCUUAGAAAUGAGUGUGUUGUAUGCUGUGGCUUGGUGUGAAAAUCGGUCUGCUAUGAUGAUGGAGACAGAAGUUCAAGACGUAACAGUCUGUGUUUGUGCAGAAAGCUAUACAAUUCUGGGGUGGCAUGAUUAAGACAUGAUUAAUUACCAUUUUAAAUCUGUAUGAGUCCCUCCUUGACUGAAACUGACAGGUACAAUUGACCACACCUCUACUCGGAUUUACCAAUACCAAGAAGUCUAUAUAUUGGUUCAUUUUUGAUCACAUCCCAUCCUUUCUCUGAUUAAUGUCAUAUUUCUAUCGGUGCAACUGUAAUAUCUUAAAUAUUCAAAGCAGAGCUAUAGGUUAAAUAUAACACCAUAUCAAAUCAGCAUCAUAGUGCACAUAACUAACAGCAUGACAAAUAAGGUAGGCCUGACUAAAACACAAAACUAGAGAAUUAAACUGGAUUUUUACUAGACUACAUUGUAAUAUGGAAGUCCAGUUCUGCCAUGGAGGGAAAAAUGAAAAAGGUAAUUGCAACUUUAUAUCUCACAAUUCUGACAUUUUGUUACGUGAAAUUUAGACAUCCACUUGACACAGUACCUGAAAUAUGACAAACUUCAUGUAACAAGCAUUUGCUAGUGUCUGGUUUUCCUUGUCUUGACUAGGUAUUGAGUGUUGUUCUUAUAUAGUCUAUUUAUAGAGAAUGAUUGAUGCUUUGUUGGUGCAUACUUUGUAACGUACUAAAUGUCAAGUGGACGUCUAAAUUGCAUGAAAUAAUUCACAAUUGUGUGAUAUGAACUCACAAUUGUGAGAAAAAAAGUCUGAAUUGUGAGAUGUUAACUCAAAAUUGUGAGAAAAAAGGUCAGAAAUGCAAAAUAUAAAGUUGAAGUUAUGAAAAAUAAAUUCACAAUUCUGAGAUAUAAAGUCGCAAUUACCUUUUUUUAUUUUCCCAUAUUCCAUGUUUUAAACUUCUUUAGAUAAAAAAGCAUUGAAAUUCUGGCCUGUUCCUGAACCAGUCGGAUCAGACCUUUCAGUGCAGAUCAAACUAAUACUGUUGCAAUGAUAAAGCAUUUAGUAUUUAUCAAGUGAUGUACUGACAGAAGCACAUGUUUACAUUAACCAUUUUAUUUCCAGUGCAUGUUGAUUUGUUGGAAAAUGUCAUACAGCAUUAGAAAAGAAGCAUACUAAACUGUACAGUACUCUUCUAUGCCACUGGGGUAGAACCCUCAAGGGUACAUCUUUUCUACCGUUAGUUAUGUGUCUUUUAACUGAAAAGUAGUAUGUAGUAAUAUUUUAAUCUAAAAGCUAAUAAAGGAUAUACGAGUGAUCCUUAAGGUCCAAUUAUGUCCAACUAAGGUAAAUUAUAUUCGCAUAGAUACACGCGCAUAGCAUCUCACCCAAUGGUAUGUUUUUGGGAUGUGAGAGGAAACUGGACAAUUCACACAGACACUCCACACAAACAGUAACCUAACAGAGGCUUCAAACUUAGUUUGUGUGUGCUCCAACUUCAACCUCUGCAAUACUAUAUAUACGAUACCUGUCCAUUUCUGUAAGUGUGAGUUAG
ensembl:lncRNA